GGAAGUAUGGCUCAGUGGCAGAGUGCUUGGCUAGUAUGCAAAAGGUCCCAGGUUCAAUCCCUAAAACCA
rnacentral:tRNA from 1 species